rnacentral:rRNA from 1 species
UGGAGAGUUUGAUCCUGGCUCAGAGUGAACGCUGGCGGCGUGCCUAACACAUGCAAGUCGAACGAUGAUGGAGAGCUUGCUCUCCUGAUUAGUGGCGCACGGGUGAGUAAUGCAUAGAUAAUGUGCCCCUUAGUUCGGGAUAGCCACUGGAAACGGUGAUUAAUACCGGAUACUCCUUCUUGUUAUAAGACAAGUCGGGAAAGUUUUUCGCUAAGGGAUCAGUCUAUGUUCCAUCAGGUAGUUGGUGAGGUAAUGGCUCACCAAGCCUAUGACGGAUAUCUGGUUUGAGAGGAUGAUCAGACACACUGGAACUGAGACACGGUCCAGACUCCUACGGGAGGCAGCAGUGAGGAAUAUUGCACAAUGGAGGAAACUCUGAUGCAGCAACGCCGCGUGGAGGAUGACGCAUUUCGGUGUGUAAACUCCUUUUAUUAGGGAAGAUAAUGACGGUACCUAAUGAAUAAGCUCCGGCUAACUCC